GCAGGGGGUUUAUAUGUACAUAACAACAGUUACACAGCAGGGGGUCUAUAUGUACAAAACAACACAGCAGGGAGUCUAUAUGUACAUAACAACAGGUACACAGUAGGGGGAAUAUAUGUACAUAACAACACAGCAGGAGGUCUAUAUGUACAUAACAACAGAUACACAGCAGGGGGUCUAUAUGUACAUAACAACAGUUACACAGCAGGGGGUCUAUAUGUACAAAACAACACAGCAGGGGGUCUAUAUGUACAUAACAACAGGUACACAGUAGGGGGAAUAUAUGUACAUAACAACACAGCAGGAGGUCUAUAUGUACAUAACAACAGAUACACAGCAGGGGGUCUAUAUGUACAUAACAACAGGUACACAGCAGGGGGACUAUAUGUACAUAACACAGCAGGAGGUCUAUAUGUAUA
rnacentral:lncRNA from 1 species